UUGAAGCAUGAACUAUAACUUAAUGAACCAUAAUGGAGAAAAUAAAGAACCAUGAAAUCAUUGUGGAAAUCACAGUGCACUAUACCAGCAGGAUGGGAGAAAUCUCCCAUGCACUCAGUAGUAAUCAUUAAAUUGUGGUUACCAUUCCAGUGCCCAAGAUCUUGUGAUGCCCUUAUCUCUCGUGGCAUGACACUUUCCACUCGCACAUCUCAGAUGACUUCUCAGACUGAAGGGCUUUCAUACACUUGCUGUCUGCUAGCUGAAGUCAUCUAUCAAUCAGAGUUGCACAUGAAGCUGAUCAAGGCAGCACCUGAAUGCAUCUGGAUGAGAUUAUACAAGAGCAGAUAUGGAUUUG